rnacentral:rRNA from 1 species
AUUGAACGCUGGCGGCAUGCUUUACACAUGCAAGUCGAACGGUAACAGGCCUUCGGGUGCUGACGAGUGGCGAACGGGUGAGUAAUGCAUCGGAACGUGCCCAAUCGUGGGGGAUAACGUAGCGAAAGUUACGCUAAUACCGCAUAAGCCCUGAGGGGGAAAGUGGGGACCGCAAGGCCUCACGCGAAUGGAGCGGCCGAUGUCAGAUUAGCUAGUUGGUGGGGUAAAGGCCCGACCAAGGCGACGAUCUGUAGCGGGUCUGAGAGGAUGAUCCGCCACACUGGGACUGAGACACGGCCCAGACUCCUACGGGAGGCAGCAGUGGGGAAUUUUGGACAAUGGGCGCAAGCCUGAUCCAGCCAUGCCGCGUGCGGGACGAAGGCCUCGGUUGUAA